rnacentral:rRNA from 1 species
AAAUCAGUUAUCGUUUAUUUGAUAGUACCUUUACUACUUGGAUAACCGUGGUAAUUCUAGAGCUAAUACAUGCUAAAAAUCCCGACUGUUUGGAAGGGAUGUAUUUAUUAGAUAAAAAAUCAAUGCUCUUUGAGCUCUUUGAUGAUUCAUAAUAACUUUUCGAAUCGCAUGGCCUUGUGCUGGCGAUGGUUCAUUCAAAUUUCUGCCCUAUCAACUUUCGAUGGUAGGAUAGUGGCCUACCAUGGUUUCAACGGGUAACGGGGAAUAAGGGUUCGAUUCCGGAGAGGGAGCCUGAGAAACGGCUACCACAUCCAAGGAAGGCAGCAGGCGCGCAAAUUACCCAAUCCCGACACGGGGAGGUAGUGACAAUACAUAACGAUACAGGGCCCUUUCGGGUCUUGUAAUUGGAAUGAGUACAAUGUAAAUACCUUAACGAGGAACAAUUGGAGGGCAAGUCUGGUGCCGGCAGCCGCGGUAAUUCCAGCUCCAAUAGCGUAUAUUAAAGUUGUUGCAGUUAAAAAGCUCG